rnacentral:lncRNA from 1 species
ACUUUGCAAACUCUCACUCUUUUCCCUCUUCAGUUUUUGCUCUUCACUAUUUCCCUUUCAGUUUUUAUACCCUCACAUUUACUAUCAAUGGCGUUUUCCACCGACGCAUCGACAUUUUCACCAUCAAAUCAGGAUCCGCUAUCUGCGAUGGCGACGAAAAUGAUUGUUAACGACGAAGAAUCAUUGCAGGCAAAUAGUACUCUGUACUAACAAAUUCAAGUCGAAGGUGAAAUUAAGAUUGAUCAUGUUGAGAUCUGAUCAGAUAUACUGAAUUUUGUAUGUUUUUCAGUUUAUUUGUGUUAAAUUUGAUGUUUUAUGAGGGGUUUUUUGAGUUUAUAUAAUUGAAAAAAAAAAAAUUUGGAUGAAAAUUGAAGUUGGGUUUUGAUUGAAUUUGGUGGAUUUUAUUUAUUUUUCAGUGAAUUUUGAUGUUUUAUGACAGAUUUUUGAGCUGAUAUAACUAAAAAGAUUAAAUUUUGAAUAAAAAUUGGGUCGUCAUCAUCGUCGGCUGCUGUGGUGAUGGUCUCUACAUGAAUAGGGGUCUAAGUCCGACUCGAAUAUCACCAGCAGUAAUCGAAAUCGAAGCAAAAGAACAAAUAAGGAAGGAAAGAGAGAGGCAUAAUGGGUUUGGAUUGGAGGAGGAAUCCAAAUUUGACAUCUUCGUCUAAGAACUCCAUUGAUGACAAGCUUG